AACACCGACAAUUCUCGGCGGUGGAUCACUCGGCUCGUGCGUCGAUGAAGAACGCAGCCAGCUGCGUGAACUAGUGUGAAUUGCAGGACACAUCGAUCAUCGACACUUCGAACGCACAUUGCGGCCCCGGGUUUCAUGCUCGGGGCCACGCCUGUCUGAGGGUCGGCGA